ensembl:lncRNA
AUGAAAAAUGCCUCAUUUAAAUGAACUGACUUUUUCCUUAAUCAGGAAGAUUAUCACAAAAAAAUGUCAGAAAAUGAAGACUCUCCUAUGGAUGCCAAUGGUACAGAGAAAGAGACAGCCGAUCGUGGGUCAGAAGUACCUGGCGUGCCCCUGGAAAAUAAGCAAGGAUUUGGGGAGGAAAGCACUCUGUCAUCUCAUGAAAAAGGAAAUGAUGAUAUAGCAAAACUCGCAUCCUCACAUCAGGAUCUAGAAGUGAAACCACCACUAACCACCAUAAAAACGGGUAUGAUUAGUUUUUGUGUGUGACAUUUUACAAUGACCUGUCUUUAUAUGUGUUGAUGAGCAGGAUUCUUUGUAUUGUUCAUCUUAUUAAAUAUAGGUGCGGGUAAACACAGAAGAAUUGGAGCGCAAAUGGAAAAAAACAUCAAUCAGACAGCACCAGCUGCUGUAUCCCAGACAGUCACCACUGCUGUGUCAGGGAAGCGCUCUGUGAUACUAUCUAAUGAAGCCCGAAAGGAGAAAAUAAAACAGGUCAAAGCUCUCAAAGAUGAGCGUAGAGCAGCUCUUGAUGGCCGACACAAGUACCUCAUCUCAAUCAUUGCAGAGAUGAUGAGCCUGGGGGACACGGAAGUCGAGGAGGCUAUAAUCUCAGAUGAUAAGGUGUGUAAAAUAUGACACUACUAAUGUCCUCAAAAUCACAAACAUGUGGUUGCCAUGUAUAAAUGUGUCUAUGUGUGUUCUGCAGUUCUACAUGAUUGAAGAAUUCUUCUCAGCAAAUGGUUCAAAGAGUCUUACGUUCUUCUACCAAGUCACAGAAACGGUAAAACACAUGACUUGAUGGUGACUGCAAAAAAUCCUAAAAGCAUGAUAUUAACAAGCCAUACCUGCCUGUAUUUCUCUACAGUCCCAUUCUUGGAUAGAUACCACAAAUUUAGCCACUGGACAGAAGAAGCUGUUUAUCACAACAGGCACUAAUGAGGUACAAAAACACCUCUACUGUUACACUUUUAACAAAGCCCUACAACUAUUUUCAACAGAAAUAAUAAGUAAUAAUAAGAAAUGUUUUUUGAUCA